rnacentral:rRNA from 1 species
UGAGGAAUAUUGGUCAAUGGGCGCGAGCCUGAACCAGCCAAGUCGCGUGAGGGAAGACGGUCCUAUGGAUUGUAAACCUCUUUUGUCGGGGAGCAAAAGGCGCCACGUGUGGCGUUCCGAGAGUACCCGAAGAAAAAGCAUCGGCUAACUCCGUGCCAGCAGCCGCGGUAAUACGGAGGAUGCGAGCGUUAUCCGGAUUUAUUGGGUUUAAAGGGUGCGCAGGCGGAAGAUCAAGUCAGCGGUAAAAUUGAGAGGCUCAACCUCUUCGAGCCGUUGAAACUGGUUUUCUUGAGUGAGCGAGAA